rnacentral:rRNA from 1 species
GACGAACGCUGGCGGCGUGCUUAACACAUGCAAGUCGAACGCUGAAGCUUGGUGCUUGCACUGGGUGGAUGAGUGGCGAACGGGUGAGUAAUACGUGAGUAACCUGCCCUUGACUCUGGGAUAAGCCUGGGAAACUGGGUCUAAUACUGGAUACGACAUGCCACUGCAUGGUGGUGUGUGGAAAGGGGUUUACUGGUUUUGGAUGGGCUCACGGCCUAUCAGCUUGUUGGGGGGGUAAUGGCCUACCAAGGCGACGACGGGUAGCCGGCCUGAGAGGGUGACCGGCCACACUGGGACUGAGACACGGCCCAGACUCCUACGGGAGGCAGCAGUGGGGAAUAUUGCACAAUGGGCGGAAGCCUGAUGCAGCGACGCCGCGUGAGGGAUGACGGCCUUCGGGUUGUAAACCUCUUUCAGCACGGAAGAAGCGAGAGUGACGGUACGUGCAGAAGAAGCGCCGGCUAACUACGUG